AAGGUAGCAUAAUAAUUUGCCUUAUAAUUUGAGGCUAGAAUGAAUGGUUUGACGAAGGUUAGUCUGUCUCUAUCUUAUUUUUUAGAAUUUAAUUUUUAUAGUGAAAAAGCUUGGAUUUUUUAAAGGGACGAGAAGACCCUAAUGAGCUUAUAAUUGUAUUAUUAUUAUAAUAGAUGUUUAUAAUAGUUUAUAAAUUUUAAUUGGGGUGAUUAAGGAAUAUAUGUCACAACUUCCUUAAAUAUAAUAUGUGGAUGGAGUA
rnacentral:rRNA from 1 species